GGCCCCGUAGCUCAGCUGGAUAGAGCGUCCCCCUCCUAAGGGGAAGGUCGCCCGUUCGAAUCGGGCCGGGGUCACCA
rnacentral:tRNA from 325 species